rnacentral:rRNA from 1 species
UGGGGAAUAUUGCACAAUGGGCGAAAGCCUGAUGCAGCAACGCCGCGUGAGUGAUGAAGGCCUUCGGGUUGUAAAGCUCUGUCUUUUGGGACGAUAAUGACGGUACCAAAGGAGGAAGCCACGGCUAACUACGUGCCAGCAGCCGCGGUAAUACGUAGGUGGCAAGCGUUGUCGGAUUGACUGGGCGUAAAGGAUGCGUAGGCGGAUUUUUAAGUGAGAUGUGAAAUACCCGGGCUUAACUUGGGUGCUGCAUUUCAAACUGGGAAUCUAGAGUGCGGGAGAGGAGAAUGGAAUUCCUAGUGUAGCGGUGAAAUGCGUAGAGAUUAGGAAGAACACCAGUGGCGAAGGCGAUUCUCUGGACCGUAACUGACGCUGAGGCAUGAAAGCGUGGGUAGCAAACAGGAUUAGAUACCCUGGUAGUCCACGCCGUAAACGAUGAGUACUAGGUGUAGGAGGUAUCGACCCCUUCUGUGCCGCAGUUAACACAAUAAGUACUCCGCCUGGGAAGU